rnacentral:misc_RNA from 1 species
UGCGGAGGGAUCAUUACCGAGUUAUACAACUCAUCAACCCUGUGAACAUACCUAAAACGUUGCUUCGGCGGGAACAGACGGCCCCGUAACACGGGCCGCCCCCGCCAGAGGACCCCCUAACUCUGUUUCUAUUAUGUUUCUUCUGAGUAAAACAAGCAAAUAAAUUAAAACUUUCAACAACGGAUCUCUUGGCUCUGGCAUCGAUGAAGAACGCAGCGAAAUGCGAUAAGUAAUGUGAAUUGCAGAAUUCAGUGAAUCAUCGAAUCUUUGAACGCACAUUGCGCCCGCCAGUAUUCUGGCGGGCAUGCCUGUUCGAGCGUCAUUACAACCCUCAGGCCCCCGGGCCUGGCGUUGGGGAUCGGCGAGGCGCCCCCUGCGGGCACACGCCGUCCCCCAAAUACAGUGGCGGUCCCGCCGCAGCUUCCAUUGCGUAGUAGCUAACACCUCGCAACUGGAGAGCGGCGCGGCCACGCCGUAAAACACCCAACUUCUGAAUGUUGACCUCGAAUCAGGUAGGAAUACCCGCUGAACUUAAGCA